AUGCUUCUCUCCAGCCUUCUGAAGGUGAUCAUGGCUUCAUUGUGGUUAGGACCCAGUAUUGCCCAGAAGGUAACUCAAAACCAACCAGUAAUAUUAGUGCAGGAGAAGGAGGUUGUGACCCUGGACUGCAUAUAUGACACAAGUGAUUUCAGUUAUAGUCUAUUCUGGUACAAGCAGCCCAGCAGUGGGGCGAUGAUUCUCCUUAUUCGUCAGGACACUUAUAACCAGCAAAAUGCCACAGAAGGUCGCUACUCACUGAAUUUCCAGAAGGCAAACAAGUCCAUCAAACUUGCCAUCUCAGCUUCACAGCUGGAGGACUCUGCAGUGUAUUUCUGUGCACUGAGUGAGCCCACAGUGAGAGGCGUGUUGGAGGGAGUUUACAUUGUUCAACCAGUACCACCAUCCAUCUCUAGAACUCUUUUCAUCUUGAAAAACUGA